UACGUAGGGUGCGAGCGUUGUCCGGAAUUAUUGGGCGUAAAGAGCUCGUAGGCGGCUUGUCACGUCGGGUGUGAAAGCCCGGGGCUUAACCCCGGGUCUGCAUUCGAUACGGGCUAGCUAGAGUGUGGUAGGGGAGAUCGGAAUUCCUGGUGUAGCGGUGAAAUGCGCAGAUAUCAGGAGGAACACCGGUGGCGAAGGCGGGUCUCUGGGCAGUAACUGACGCUGAGGAGCGAAAGCGUGGGGAGCGAACAGG
rnacentral:rRNA from 1 species